AUACUUACCUGGCAGUGAAGAUACCAUGAUCACAAAGGUGGUUUUCCAGGGCAUGACUCAUCCAUUGUACUUCAGAUGUGCUGACCCCUGUGAUUAUCCAAAUGUGAGAAAUUUGACUGCAUAAUUUGUGAUAGUGGGGGACUGCGUUCAUGCUCUCCCCUG